rnacentral:rRNA from 1 species
CCUACGGGAGGCAGCAGUGGGGAAUUUUGGACAAUGGGGGCAACCCUGAUCCAGCCAUGCCGCGUGCGGGAAGAAGGCCUUCGGGUUGUAAACCGCUUUUGGUCGGGAAGAAAAGGUCUCUCCUAAUAGGGGGGGCUGUUGACGGUACCGGCAGAAUAAGCACCGGCUAACUACGUGCCAGCAGCCGCGGUAAUACGUAGGGUGCGAGCGUUAAUCGGAAUUACUGGGCGUAAAGCGUGCGCAGGCGGUAAGUCAAGUCUGAUGUGAAAGCCCCGGGCUCAACCUGGGAAUGGCAUUGGAAACUGGCUUGCUAGAGUGUGGCAGAGGGGGGUGGAAUUCCGCGUGUAGCAGUGAAAUGCGUAGAGAUGCGGAGGAACACCGAUGGCGAAGGCAGCCCCCUGGGCCAACACUGACGCUCAGGCACGAAAGCGUGGGGAGCAAACAGGAUUAGAUACCCUGGUAGUCCACGCCCUAAACGAUGUCAACUGGGUGUUGGGGAAGCGAUUCCUUGGUACCGUAGCUAACGCGUGAAGUUGACCGCCUGGGGAGUACGGCCGCAAGGUUAAAACUCAAAGGAAUUGACGG